AGCUUGCUAGGCAGUCGCCGCAUUUAUUGGUUAUUUCAAUAAGUGGGGAGGAAAGUCCGGGCUCCAAAGAGCAGAGUGCCAGGUAACUCCUGGGGGGCGUAAGCCUACGGAAAGUGCAGCAGAAAGUGAACCGCCUAAGCUAGUUGCUAUUUAGUUUCUAGCCGGUAAGGGUGAAAAGGUGCGGUAAGAGCGCACCGCGUGACUGGUAACAGCUCAUGGCGAUGGUAAACCCCACUCGGAGCAAGACCAAAUAGGAAUCUAAUAGCGCUGCUCGCGUUGGAUUCGGGUAGGUUGCUUGAGCUGAACGGUGACGUUCGGCCUAGAUGAAUGACUGUCCACGACAAAACCCGGCUUACCGGCAAGCUCA
rnacentral:RNase_P_RNA from 1 species